rnacentral:tRNA from 1 species
AGACUAGAGCCUCACUAUCAACACCCAAAGCUGAAGUUCUACUUAAACUAUUCCCUG